rnacentral:rRNA from 1 species
GAUGAACGCUGGCGGCGUGCCUAAUACAUGCAAGUCGAACGAAGAUCUAGCUUGCUAGAUCUUAGUGGCGAACGGGUGAGUAAUACAUAAAUAAUCUGCCCAUAUGACUGGGAUAACUAUUGGAAACGAUAGCUAAUACCGGAUAGGUUGAUCGGAGGCAUCUCUGAUGAAUUAAAGUAGGAUUUCUACACAAAUGGAUGAGUUUAUGGCGCAUUAGUUAGUUGGUGGGGUAACGGCCUACCAAGACGAUGAUGCGUAGCCGACCUGAGAGGGUGACCGGCCACACUGGGACUGAGACACGGCCCAGACUCCUACGGGAGGCAGCAGUAGGGAAUUUUCGGCAAUGGGCGCAAGCCUGACCGAGCAACGCCGCGUGAGUGAUUAAGGCCUUCGGGUUGUAAAGCUCUGUUGUAAGGGAAGAACAUUCAGGAUAGGAAAUGAUCUUGAACUGACGGUACCUUACCAGAAAGCCACGGCUAACUACGUGCCAGCCGCCGCGGUAA